rnacentral:ribozyme from 1 species
AUUAAUUUCCAUUUUAAAUUAUGUACCUCCUACAAGGCUAAUACAGGCUCUCUUCCCUAACUCCUAUUCAUUACGUCCACGACGUACCGCGUAUGCGUGUUGCCAACGCAUGGUAAAAACAUGUGUGGCUAAAAUGAAAGGG